rnacentral:rRNA from 1 species
UACGUAGGGGGCGAGCGUUGUCCGGAUUUAUUGGGCGUAAAGAGCGUGUAGGCGGUCCGGUAAGUCAGCUGUGAAAGUCAAGGGCUCAACCCUUGAAUGCCGGUUGAUACUGUCGGGCUAGAGUCCGGAAGAGGCGAGUGGAAUUCCCGGUGUAGCGGUGAAAUGCGCAGAUAUCGGGAGGAACACCAAUGGCGAAGGCAGCUCGCUGGGACGGUACUGACGCUGAGACGCGAAAGCGUGGGGAGCAAACAGG